rnacentral:lncRNA from 1 species
AAAGUUCCACGAAUCUUUCAUUUCCCUUCUUCAACGGUAUCAAACAAUAGACCUGAUUAUGAUAUCUCCGGCUUAAACCUCACCGUCCCAAUCAUCGACCUCGGAGAAGUCAACAACUAUGAACCAUCAGCGAGAAACGUCGUCGUUUCGGAGAUCAAAGACGCGAUUGAGAAGUGGGGAUUUUUCCAAGUGAUCAACCAUGGUGUUCCUUUAACUGUUCUUGAAGAUAUCAAAGAAGGAGUUCGAAAGUUUCACGAAGAUGAUCCAAAGGUUAAGAAUCAGUAUCUUCCUAACGGAUUCAAGAAGAGCUUUGUUUAUAAUAAUCAUUUCGAUCUCUAUCGUUCUGCUCCUAUGAAUUGGAAAGACUCUUUCACUUGUUUCUUAGCUCCAGAUCCUCUAAAUCCAGAGGAGAUUCCACUAGCUUGCAGGUUAAAUUUUUUGAUUAGCUACUUCAAACAUUUUUCUUUAUAAUAGUAUAAUAUAUGAUGAUUUUUAAUUAGGAGUGUUGUGAUUGAAUACACGAAGCAUGUAAUGGAAUUGGGAGAUUUGCUCUUCCAACUUCUCUCAGAAGCUUUAGGUUUGGACUCUGAGUUCUUAAAGAGGAUGGAUUGUCUUAAGGGUUUGUUCAUGCUUUGCCAUUACUACCCACCUUGUCCGCAACCUGACCUAACUUUGGGCAUAAGUCAACAUACCGAUAGCUCUUUUCUCACGCUUCUUCUUCAAAACCAAAUAGGUGGCCUUCAAGUUCUCCAUCAAGAUUAUUGGGUUGAUGUCCCUCCUGUUCCUGGAGCUCUUGUCGUCAACAUUGGUGAUUUCAUGCAGGCAAGUCCAGUUUAACUGGAAAAAAGCAGUCUUUACAGAUAUGUAUUUGAGACAUUUUUGUUUUGCAGCUGAUAACGAACGAAAAGUUCUUGAGUGUGAGACAUAGGGUACGAGCGAACAGAGAUGGACCGCGGAUUUCUAUUGCGUGUUUCUUUAGCUCAAGUCUGUCUCCAAAUUCCACGGUUUAUGGACCGAUGAAAGAGUUGUUGUCUGAUGAAAACCCUCCAAAGUACAAAGAUAUCACCAUACCAGAGUACACGGCAGGAUACCUUGCGAAUCUCUUUGAUUAUAAGCCAUAUUUGUCUAACUUUAGGAUAUGAAGAGAAGACUUGUCCUCCGACUUAGUGUGAAAGAUUGAUAUUUGUGUCUUAUGCAUUGUGUGUCCAGAACGAUUACAAUAAGCUUGUAUUAUCAGGAGGACCAUUGUAAUAUCCAACAUUCACAUUCAGAUUAGUAUCCGUAGAAACACCAUAAUAGCUAGUAGUAACAGCUUAAGAAGGACCAAGAUUCUGAAAACCCACAUUCCCAAGCUUAGUAGUUACUAUUAAGGCAGUGAGGUCUCAAAGAUCGAAGAGGAAGCAACUAACCUUGUCGCAGUGUUGUGAAGGAUAUGAGAAACACUUAAGAUUUUUAUAAGAAUUAAUGACUCUCUUACAACCAUAUUUAUAGAAUGAUGUCUUAGGCUGCAAGUAAUGUUGAAGCUUAUCCAACAAAGGAAGCUCCAAUCUUGUGACUAAGGCUGAGAAUCCGAGGUGAUAGCUCAAAGAAUCAAACAGUCUAAGGUGAGGCUCAAAGAAGAAAGCUCACCCGAAAGAGGGAGCUAAACGCCGGUUGAAGUGAAUCGACAGAAGGCGAGGAAGAAGAAGCGAUGGGAUUCAAAAUCCCUAUAUUUGAAAUUGGGAGUUUCAAUCAAGAAUCUAAGAAGGAGUGUUGGAAUUGGUUCCUUAAUCGAACAUGCAACAAGCCAACAACGAGAAGAGAUCAGUGGGCAAUCAAAGAAGAGAUUCAAGUGAAGAUGAAGAAGUUGUCGUGAUGAACGUCAAACGACAGAGAAGAAGAGGACCAAAGGAAGUUGGGCUUGUGUUUUGUAAUAAUUAAUUACUUUAAUCGAAUUAAGACAAUGACAUCACUUGUGUAAUAGUAACUAUAAGAGCUCUGUUUCGACUUCAUAAGUAUAAAGAGCUAGAGGAAAGCUGUUUAACUCAUCACGAUCAUUGUGAUUCUCCACAUAUCUUUAGUACUUAUAGUAAAAAAAAAAGUAUCUAGGCAAAGAGCAAAUAGACUUUUCACUGUUUACUAUUUACAAACACCUUAGCAAGUAGUCAUCACAUUUCAUAACAUAGGAAGAAACAAAUUAAUUUAUUCAAUGAGACCAAAAAAAAAAAAAAAAAAGAGUAUUCGAAAGACCUAAACUAGGCUUUGAAAGAUGUGUUUGCUCAUUAUAUUAUCCUCUUGCUUGGUUCGCGUUAUACAUACAACAAGUCUCAACAUGUUUAGGUCAUAUCGACGUUUUCUAGAAUGGUUUUUCGCCUCCCGGAUUUUGUUUGAGUUGCAUUGAACUUGGAACAUAAGGGCACAACAAAUGUAAAGAUCAGUACAAAUGUAGGCACAUCCGCACAUGGCACAACCAAGUGACUCGUAUAGUUUAUUUAUUUGACAGAAGUAUUAAACCUUUGUUAUAGUUUAAAAGAGUUACUAUUAACUCACAAAUGGGGAUGUAGCUCAGAUGGUAGAGCGCUCGCUUAGCAUGCGAGAGGUACGGGGAUCGAUACCCCGCAUCUCCAUUUCUUUUGUUUCUUUUCUUGUCGAUCGGUUAUCUCCAAAAGUCAAUUUUAAUCCUUUGAAUUCUAUGCACAAAUUACACAACACGUCGCUCUCAAACAAAGACACUUAUCUUUACUUCUGUCUUAAAUCAUUGAAUCUUCCUAUCGACCAAAAAAAAAAAAAAAUCAUGGCAGACGAAACAUACCUCACGAGUGGUGUAAAAGGACUCGUCGACGGCGAUAUAACCGAAGUUCCUCAAAUCUUCCAUGUCCCUUCUUCAAUCUUAUCUAACAACAGACCUGAUGAUACCUCCGGCUUAAACCUCACCGUCCCAAUCAUCGACCUCGGAGAAGUCAACAACGAUGACAAAUCAGCGAGAAACGUCGUCGUUUCAAAGAUCAAAGACGCAGCUGAGAAGUGGGGAUUUUUCCAAGUGAUCAACCAUG